UAGGGAAUCUUCCGCAAUGGACGCAAGUCUGACGGAGCAACGCCGCGUGAGUGAUGAAGGUUUUCGGAUCGUAAAGCUCUGUUCGUAGGGAAGAACGCUUGUGAGAGUAACUGCUCAUGAGGUGACGGUACCUACGCAGCAAGCCCCGGCUAACUACGUGCCAGCAGCCGCGGUAAUACGUAGGGGGCAAGCGUUGUCCGGAAUUAUUGGGCGUAAAGCGCGCGCAGGCGGUGAUGUAAGUUUGGUGUAUAAGCCCGAGGCUCAACCCCGGGACGCACUGAAAACUGCAUCACUGGAGUGCAGGAGAGGAAAGUGGAAUUCCACGUGUAGCGGUGAAAUGCGUAGAUAUGUGGAGGAACACCAGUGGCGAAGGCGACUUUCUGGCCUGUAACUGACGCUGAGGCGCGAAAGCGUGGGGAGCAAACAGG
rnacentral:rRNA from 1 species